AGGGCGCGAGAGAGAGCGAGAGCAACUGUGCUGUGCGAGAAACAGAGAGAGCGAGAGACAGAGAAAGAGAGCACGAAGCCGGAUUCUGCGAACAAACUGGAUUCUACCAACUCCGAUCUCCGUCUCUACUUUCUCUCUGUUUCUCUUCUUCCAUCAUUGUCCCAAUUUUCGGCGAACUCAUGUCGUGCGGCCAUCCUCACGGUCUUCUCAUCCAUUUUCGGCUUGA
rnacentral:lncRNA from 1 species